rnacentral:rRNA from 1 species
GACAGAGGUGCCAAGCGUUAGGCGGAAUCACUGGCUUAAAGCGUGUGUAGGCGGAUCGUUAAGUACCUUGUGAAAUCCCACGGCUCAACCGUGGAACUGCUGGGUAUACUGGCGAUCUUGAGCCACUAGGGGCGAAGCGGAACAAGCGGUGGAGCGGUGAAAUGCGUAGAUAUCGCUUGGAACGCCAAUGGUGAAAACAGCUCGCUGGGGGUGUGCUGACGCUGAGACGAAAGCCAGGGAGGCGAACGGG